rnacentral:rRNA from 1 species
ACACUAUCAUUAACUGAAUCCAUAGGUUAAUGAGGCGAACCGGGGGAACUGAAACAUCUAAGUACCCCGAGGAAAAGAAAUCAACCGAGAUUCCCCCAGUAGCGGCGAGCGAACGGGGAGCAGCCCAGAGCCUGAAUCAGUGUGUGUGUUAGUGGAAGCGUCUGGAAAGGCGCGCGAUACAGGGUGACAGCCCCGUACACAAAAAUGCACAUACUGUGAGCUCGAUGAGUAGGGCGGGACACGUGGUAUCCUGUCUGAAUAUGGGGGGACCAUCCUCCAAGGCUAAAUACUCCUGACUGACCGAUAGUGAACCAGUACCGUGAGGGAAAGGCGAAAAGAACCCCGGCGAGGGGAGUGAAAAAGAACCUGAAACCGUGUACGUACAAGCAGUGGGAGCCUCUUUAUGGGGUGACUGCGUACCUUUUGUAUAAUGGGUCAGCGACUUAUAUUCUGUAGCAAGGUUAACCGAAUAGGGGAGCCGAAGGGAAACCGAGUCUUAACUGGGCGUUAAGUUGCAGGGUAUAGACCCGAAACCCGGUGAUCUAGCCAUGGGCAGGUUGAAGGUUGGGUAACACUAACUGGAGGACCGAACCGACUAAUGUUGAAAAAUUAGCGGAUGACUUGUGGCUGGGGGUGAAAGGCCAAUCAAACCGGGAGAUAGCUGGUUCUCCCCGAAAGCUAUUUAGGUAGCGCCUCGUGAAUUCAUCUCCGGGGGUAGAGCACUGUUUCGGCAAGGGGGUCAUCCCGACUUACCAACCCGAUGCAAACUGCGAAUACCGGAGAAUGUUAUCACGGGAGACACACGGCGGGUGCUAACGUCCGUCGUGAAGAGGGAAACAACCCAGACCGCCAGCUAAGGUCCCAAAGUCAUGGUUAAGUGGGAAACGAUGUGGGAAGGCCCAGACAGCCAGGAUGUUGGCUUAGAAGCAGCCAUCAUUUAAAGAAAGCGUAAUAGCUCACUGGUCGAGUCGGCCUGCGCGGAAGAUGUAACGGGGCUAAACCAUGCACCGAAGCUGCGGCAGCGACACUAUGUGUUGUUGGGUAGGGGAGCGUUCUGUAAGCCUGUGAAGGUGUGCUGUGAGGCAUGCUGGAGGUAUCAGAAGUGCGAAUGCUGACAUAAGUAACGAUAAAGCGGGUGAAAAGCCCGCUCGCCGGAAGACCAAGGGUUCCUGUCCAACGUUAAUCGGGGCAGGGUGAGUCGACCCCUAAGGCGAGGCCGAAAGGCGUAGUCGAUGGGAAACAGGUUAAUAUUCCUGUACUUGGUGUUACUGCGAAGGGGGGACGGAGAAGGCUAUGUUGGCCGGGCGACGGUUGUCCCGGUUUAAGCGUGUAGGCUGGUUUUCCAGGCAAAUCCGGAAAAUCAAGGCUGAGGCGUGAUGACGAGGCACUACGGUGCUGAAGCAACAAAUGCCCUGCUUCCAGGAAAAGCCUCUAAGCAUCAGGUAACAUCAAAUCGUACCCCAAACCGACACAGGUGGUCAGGUAGAGAAUACCAAGGCGCUUGAGAGAACUCGGGUGAAGGAACUAGGCAAAAUGGUGCCGUAACUUCGGGAGAAGGCACGCUGAUAUGUAGGUGAAGCGACUUGCUCGUGGAGCUGAAAUCAGUCGAAGAUACCAGCUGGCUGCAACUGUUUAUUAAAAACACAGCACUGUGCAAACACGAAAGUGGACGUAUACGGUGUGACGCCUGCCCGGUGCCGGAAGGUUAAUUGAUGGGGUCAGCCGCAAGGCGAAGCUCUUGAUCGAAGCCCCGGUAAACGGCGGCCGUAACUAUAACGGUCCUAAGGUAGCGAAAUUCCUUGUCGGGUAAGUUCCGACCUGCACGAAUGGCGUAAUGAUGGCCAGGCUGUCUCCACCCGAGACUCAGUGAAAUUGAACUCGCUGUGAAGAUGCAGUGUACCCGCGGCAAGACGGAAAGACCCCGUGAACCUUUACUAUAGCUUGACACUGAACAUUGAGCCUUGAUGUGUAGGAUAGGUGGGAGGCUUUGAAGCGUGGACGCCAGUCUGCGUGGAGCCGACCUUGAAAUACCACCCUUUAAUGUUUGAUGUUCUAACGUGGACCCGUGAUCCGGGUUGCGGACAGUGUCUGGUGGGUAGUUUGACUGGGGCGGUCUCCUCCUAAAGAGUAACGGAGGAGCACGAAGGUUGGCUAAUCCUGGUCGGACAUCAGGAGGUUAGUGCAAUGGCAUAAGCCAGCUUGACUGCGAGCGUGACGGCGCGAGCAGGUGCGAAAGCAGGUCAUAGUGAUCCGGUGGUUCUGAAUGGAAGGGCCAUCGCUCAACGGAUAAAAGGUACUCCGGGGAUAACAGGCUGAUACCGCCCAAGAGUUCAUAUCGACGGCGGUGUUUGGCACCUCGAUGUCGGCUCAUCACAUCCUGGGGCUGAAGUAGGUCCCAAGGGUAUGGCUGUUCGCCAUUUAAAGUGGUACGCGAGCUGGGUUUAGAACGUCGUGAGACAGUUCGGUCCCUAUCUGCCGUGGGCGCUGGAGAACUGAGGGGGGCUGCUCCUAGUACGAGAGGACCGGAGUGGACGCAUCACUGGUGUUCGGGUUGUCAUGCCAAUGGCACUGCCCGGUAGCUAAAUGCGGAAGAGAUAAGUGCUGAAAGCAUCUAAGCACGAAACUUGCCCCGAGAUGAGUUCUCCCUGA